rnacentral:rRNA from 1 species
AGCAGCAGCCGGGUAAUACAGAGGGUGCGAGCGUUAAUCGGAUUUACUGGGCGUAAAGCGUGCGUAGGCGGCUUUUUAAGUCGGAUGUGAAAUCCCUGAGCUUAACUUAGGAAUUGCAUUCGAUACUGGGAAGCUAGAGUAUGGGAGAGGAUGGUAGAAUUCCAGGUGUAGCGGUGAAAUGCGUAGAGAUCUGGAGGAAUACCGAUGGCGAAGGCAGCCAUCUGGCCUAAUACUGACGCUGAGGUACGAAAGCAUGGGGAGCAAACAGGAUUAGAGACCCCAGUAGUCCCUGUCUCUUAUACA